rnacentral:rRNA from 1 species
GGGGAAUUUUGGACAAUGGGCGCAAGCCUGAUCCAGCAAUGCCGCGUGCAGGAUGAAGGCCUUCGGGUUGUAAACUGCUUUUGUACGGAGCGGAAAGGUCUCUUCUAAUACAGGAGGCCCAUGACGGUACCGUAAGAAUAAGCACCGGCUAACUACGUGCCAGCAGCCGCGGUAAUACGUAGGGUGCAAGCGUUAAUCGGAAUUACUGGGCGUAAAGCGUGCGCAGGCGGUGUUGUAAGACAGAGGUGAAAUCCCCGGGCUCAACCUGGGAACUGCCUUUGUGACUGCAACGCUAGAGUACGGCAGAGGGGGAUGGAAUUCCGCGUGUAGCAGUGAAAUGCGUAGAUAUGCGGAGGAACACCGAUGGCGAAGGCAAUCCCCUGGGCCUGUACUGACGCUCAUGCACGAAAGCGUGGGGAGCAAAC